rnacentral:rRNA from 1 species
GAGAGGAUGAUCAGCCACACUGGGACUGAGACACGGCCCAGACUCCUACGGGAGGCAGCAGUGGGGAAUAUUGCACAAUGGGCGCAAGCCUGAUGCAGCCAUGCCGCGUGUGUGAAGAAGGCCUUCGGGUUGUAAAGCACUUUCAGUAAGGAGGAAAGGUUAAGUGUUAAUAGCACUUAGCUGUGACGUUACUUACAGAAGAAGCACCGGCUAACUCCGUGCCAGCAGCCGCGGUAAUACGGAGGGUGCGAGCGUUAAUCGGAAUUACUGGGCGUAAAGCGUACGCAGGCGGUUUGUUAAGCGAGAUGUGAAAGCCCCGGGCUCAACCUGGGAACUGCAUUUCGAACUGGCAAACUAGAGUGUGAUAGAGGGUGGUAGAAUUUCAGGUGUAGCGGUGAAAUGCGUAGAGAUCUGAAGGAAUACCGAUGGCGAAGGCAGCCCCCUGGGUCAACACUGACGUUCAUGUACGAAAGCGUGGGGAGCAAACAGGAUUAGAUACCCUG